rnacentral:rRNA from 1 species
CCUUGCCAGCCCGCUCAGAACUUAAAGGAAUUGACGGGGCCCGCACAAGCGGUGGAGCAUGUGGUUUAAUUCGAUGAUACGCGAGGAACCUUACCUGGGCUCAAAUGUAUGUUGACGUAUUCUGAAAGGGAUACUUCUUCGGACAAUAUACAAGGUGCUGCAUGGUUGUCGUCAGCUCGUGCCGUGAGGUGUCGGGUUAAGUCCCAUAACGAGCGCAACCCCUAUCAUUAGUUGCCAUCAGGUCAAGCUGGGGACUCUAAUGAAACUGCCUACGCAAGUAGUGAGGAAGGUGGGGAUGACGUCAAAUCAGCACGGCCCUUACGUCCAGGGCUACACACGUGCUACAAUGGCCGGUACAAAGGGCAGCUACCUGGUGACAGGAUGCUAAUCUCCAAAACCACUCUCAGUUCGGAUCGGAGUCUGCAACUCGACUCCGUGAAGCUGGAUUCGCUAGUAAUCGCGCAUCAGCCACGGCGCGGUGAAUACGUUCCCGGGCCUU